rnacentral:rRNA from 1 species
GACGAACGCUGGCGGCGUGCCUAAUACAUGCAAGUUGAGCGGUGAAGAUUGGUGCUUGCCCCAAUUUGAAGAGCAGCGAACGGGUGAGUAACGCGUGGGGAAUCUGCCUUUGAGCGGGGGACAACAUUUGGAAACGAAUGCUAAUACCGCAUAACAACUUUAAACAUAAGUUUUAAGUUUGAAAGAUGCAAUUGCAUCACUCAAAGAUGAUCCCGCGUUGUAUUAGCUAGUUGGUGAGGUAAAGGCUCACCAAGGCGAUGAUACAUAGCCGACCUGAGAGGGUGAUCGGCCACAUUGGGACUGAGACACGGCCCAAACUCCUACGGGAGGCAGCAGUAGGGAAUCUUCGGCAAUGGACGAAAGUCUGACCGAGCAACGCCGCGUGAGUGAAGAAGGUUUUCGGAUCGUAAAACUCUGUUGGUAGAGAAGAACGUUGGUGAGAGUGGAAAGCUCAUCAAGUGACGGUAACUACCCAGAAAGGGACGGCUAACUACGUG